AAGAACAGAAGAGCUUUUUCACCCUCUUGCUAAUGCUCUUCCAACCAUUCCUCGUUUCCUUAUAUUCGGCGUUCUCAGAAGACAAAUUAAAAUCAAUAAAGAGCUAAAAUUAGAAAAAAGAAAUUUAAAGCAAACUGGAAGGAAUGCAAACGGUUGAGUUUAGUGUCAUAAAAUAGGGUGCCUCAAACAAGGAGAACCUCUGUUUUGCUAAUUUAUUGCAGGAAGGAUCAGUUGGACACAAUGGUCGAAUACAACAGAGUGAAGGUCAAGUGUUUGAUUGAAUUUACUAGAGGGUUUUUGCGUAUGUAUGGUCAAACAUCUGUUAUUGAUUCAAAGAAAUGAUCAAAAGAUCUUUAUUUGCCGGAGAAGUGGGCGUUUCCAAUGAUAAUGCAUGGCUACUUAACAGGGGGAAUUAACCGCAAAUACUAGUUUAUCUCAUUAUUGUUGAUAAAAUGGCCUAGUCCUUCACAUCUACCGCGCAUUGUGCUCCAAAAGGUACUAAGAGAGGCGGCGGUGAAACUCAAACUCGAAUCCUCUGCCUAAGUUGGUGCCAUCCGGAAAGAGAACAUGUUGAAUUGUGUGAACUACCUUAUCUGAAAGCUCAAGUUUAGAGAUAUAACAUAGUUAUUUAUUUAUGUCUGCAACCUGAUCCAUAGGAUAUGGAGUCUACAAGGGGAGAAGUACAUUGGGAUUUGAAGUUUUGGAACAACUUGCGCAAGACUGGAAGGUCGAAGCACAUGAUAGUCAAGAUGUAUGGAGAUGGGGUACGGGGGAGAACGGUGUCUUUUAUGUAAGUCCUAUUAUGAGAAGUUUAUGACUACGGAGGAAUCGAGAAAGGUGUAUGUUUUCACUUGGCUAGUUGCGUGUGGGGUAAUCUUGAGGGCGGAGAACUUGGGGAAGAAGAAGUUUAUUUGUUGGUUGGCGCUUCAUGUGUAAAGACUCAGGGAAAGAUGUGAAUCACUUCCAUUUACUUUGUCGAAUAGCGUCUUAGUUGUGGUGGGAAAUCCUGUGAUGGUCUGGACCAGAGUGAGUAAUGCCGAGCACUGUGAAAGAAACAAUGUUUAGUUGGACAUUUAGAAGAGGGAGGAGACACAGGGUAUGGGAUGCUGCUCCUCUAUACUUAUGGACUGUAUGAAGAGAGAGGAUUUGGAGCGCUUUUGAUGGAGUAUAGAUGGUUUUGUACACUUGAGGAAUAACCUUCUAUCUCUUAUUCCUUUUUGGUGCACCCACGAGGUUCCCAUAUGUAUAAAAGAUUGGGUGUCUUUUUUCUACCUUUUGGUAUACCUCUUGUAUACGGGCAUUUUUUGCCCUUCUUUUGAUGAAUUUUUUACUUUAUCAAAAAAAAAAAAAAAAAAUGAUCCAUGUAGGAUGACUACAAAAGUGAAACUUUUGAUGGAUUGUGAGAAGUAGUGAUUCCUACUAAUUUCAGAGAUCAUUAUCUUAGUUGAAGAAAAAGUGUCAUAGACUUAUGUUUAAGAUCAACUAAUCAGAUUAUUUGUCUUUGCUUCUCCACCCAACAACAAUAACAUACCCCGUGUAAUCCCACAAGUGGGCUCUAGGGAGUGUAGUGUGUAAGCAUACCUUACCCCUACCUUGUAGAGGUAGAGAGGCUUCUCUAUCCAUUUAAUCUAAUAGUGACUCAUCAAAAGCUAGUAAUAACUAAAAGAGAAAUGGAGCCAGUCCUUACUUGAGAUGCUAUUCUGGAAAAAAAGCCCAACUCUUCUUUGCACUCAGGGCAACACUUAGUUUCAUUGACAACCAAUUAGCUAUAUUCAUCUCAAUAAACAAACUUCAAAAAAUGAAAGAAGGAACUUUAAGUUUGACAAUGUUGAUGGUGAUCUUUCACAGUCAACGUUGCUAGCUAAAGAUAUACUUUUGUUGCAUUUGUACUACUAGAUAGUUGCUCAAAUAGCAUAUAUAUUUAUCCUUUUAGUCACACUUAAAGAGCUUUAAAUCUUGGAAAUCUAUUAUUCUGUCACUUAUUCUAGCUUAAGUUGCUUUUUGCGAAUUGAUAUAUAAUGCAAAACAUGCUUAUAUUUAUGUGUAUGAUUGGUCAAAGUUCUUCUGUGGUAAUUUAAUGAACGAAAUAGAGAGCUUUUUGUACUGACCUUAUUUCUAUUUACCCAUGCUACCUAUUAUGUUUAUAGUAUAAAGAGUGAGGAUUGACGAAUUUGUAUAUCUUGUGUAAGCAUGCAAAUGCAGAAAUGGCUCACGAAAACUCAUGUAGGCAUUCUGAAGGCAAAGGUUAAUAGUGGUGGCUUUGUUGCAAGUUUACUACAUAGAGUACGAUGCAAACAUUUAUAAAAUUUCAUCUAGGUUGCUAUCCAUUGAAACUUCUGUAUUGGCUGGUUUUCCAGAAUCUUUUACUUCAGAUCAUUGGCCACCUUUUACUGAAUCCACUGACAACGUUCUAUCUCCUCUUUGUUUUUUGCCUGCACAAUAAGAAUUGUAUCAAACUUAUGAAUUGAUCCAGAAAAGAGACCACUGAUAUAUCUAAUAUCUAAUCAACUGAACUUUUAAGUGCAAGAAAUACAAAUAUCUUAAGGUUUAUUUGUUGAGAAAGAUAUCUACUUUUUAUAGACUUCUAGGUGCUGUAGUCUUUAUCAUCUAGCGUUGAUGCAUUAACGGUAUGGACUAAUGCAGUAAAAAGCUGAAAAUUUAGAGUAUCUGACUAACUAAGUUGAGGUAGAAAACAUCAAGUCGAAUAUAAAAGAUAUUAUGUCUGGAGAGGUAGCAAUGAUUUGAUUACCUAAUACUGUACACCGUUUCAAAGUUGAAAUUUAUACAUACGUUUUGCAUUAAAUAGAUUUAAGUCCCUGCUUAAAAUGCCAUGUAAGAUUUAGGUGAAAAUCACUUAGAUAGGCUGUAAUUUGCUGCAAAAGUAUAUCAUUAAACAUUCUAGCAUAUCUCCCACAAACCAUAAUUUAUUGAAAGUAAAUAUUUCUUGAAUAAUGUAAUUGGUUGCCAUUGCCGAUAUUUUUUAUUUAAUAAGUAAACAUUUAAUUUUUCCUG